rnacentral:rRNA from 1 species
AUUGAACGCUGGCGGAAUGCUUUACACAUGCAAGUCGAACGGUAGAGGGGGCAACCCCUCGAGAGUGGCGAACGGGUGAGUAAUAUAUCGGAACGUGCCCAGUCGUGGGGGACAACGUAGCGAAAGUUACGCUAAUACCGCAUACGAUCUAAGGAUGAACGCGGGGGAUCGCACGACCUCGCGCGAUUGGAGCGGCCGAUAUCAGAUUAGGUAGUUGGUGGGGUAAAGGCUCACCAAGCCAACGAUCUGUAGCUGGUCUGAGAGGACGACCAGCCACACUGGAACUGAGACACGGUCCAGACUCCUACGGGAGGCAGCAGUGGGGAAUUUUGGACAAUGGACGCAAGUCUGAUCCAGCCAUUCCGCGUGCAGGAUGAAGGCCCUCGGGUUGUAAACUGCUUUUGUACGGAACGAAAAGGUCUCUCUUAAUACGGGGGGCUCAUGACGGUACCGUAAGAAUAAGCACCGGCUAACUACGUGCCAGCCGCCGCAGUAA